rnacentral:tmRNA from 1 species
UUGAAAAUUAUAAAUAAAUAAGUAUAAUCACAAUCGCUGAGCAAUCAGCUAUGGUACUAGAGGCUGUACGAAAUAGGUAUUUCAGACCCGGGGGCAGUACCCGGCACCUCCACCAUUUUUAAGAAGGAAACGAUUGUUCUUGUCAUUGCUUCGGCGCUAAACCGCCUCGCAAUGACGAUAAGACAAGGACAACGCAAUCGCUUAAAGAGCACGUUUUCUACUACCUUGGCACUGACCAUCAAAACGUGAUGUUUAAGAUGAGUGCUAGGAGUUAGAUAUUUUUCGCAGGGAGUGUACUAGCGGUACAUGACCAAGAAAAAUCUCUAAGGACAACGCAAUCGCUUAAAGAGCACGUUUUCUAUUAUGGGGGUGAAUUUAGGCUUGAUGGGGUACAGUAAAGGUAUGCAACGCCGUACUCGGUGAGACACCACCGUUAUCGGUUCAAACUAAAUAAAUGCUAACGAUAAUUUAGCACCAGUUGCUUUGGCUGCUUAGUCUAAAGUGACGAACUAAAAUUCUUGAGACUUUGGUUAGCCUCAAGUGGGGGAGAAGCCACCUAGCAACAGAACGGCU